rnacentral:rRNA from 1 species
AACGUAGGAGGCAAGCGUUAUCCGGAGUGACUGGGCGUAAAGAGCGUGUAGGCGGUUGAGUAAGUUGCGUGUGAAAGCGCCCGGCUAAACUGGGCGAGGACAGGCAAGACUGCUGAGCUAGAGGCCGAUAGAGGGGUGCGGAAUUCCGGGUGUAGCGGUGAAAUGUGUAGAGAUCCGGAGGAACACCAGUGGUGCAGAUGGCGCCCUGGAUCGGACCGGACGAUGAGACGCGAAAGCGUGGGGAGCGAACGGG